GGGGGAUAUUGCGCAAUGGGGGCAACCCUGACGCAGCAACGCCGCGUGAAGGAUGAAGGUUUUCGGAUUGUAAACUUCUUUUAUUAAGGACGAAACUUGACGGUACUUAAUGAAUAAGCUCCGGCUAACUACGUGCCAGCAGCCGCGGUAAUACGUAGGGAGCAAGCGUUGUCCGGAUUUACUGGGUGUAAAGGGUGCGUAGGCGGCUUUGCAAGUCAGAUGUGAAAUCUAUGGGCUCAACCCAUAAACUGCAUUUGAAACUGUAGAGCUUGAGUGAAGUAGAGGCAGGCGGAAUUCCCCGUGUAGCGGUGAAAUGCGUAGAGAUGGGGAGGAACACCAGUGGCGAAGGCGGCCUGCUGGGCUUUAACUGACGCUGAGGCACGAAAGCGUGGGUAGCAAACAGGAUUAGAUACCCUGGUAGUCCACGCUGUAAACGAUGAUUACUAGGUGUGGGGGGUCUGACCCCUUCCGUGCCGGAGUUAACACAAUAAGUAAUCCACCUGGGGAGUACGGCCGCAAGGUUGAAACUCAAAGGAAUUGACGGGGGCCCGCACAAGCAGUGGAGUAUGUGGUUUAAUUCGAAGCAACGCGAAGAACCUUACCAGGUCUUGACAUCCAACUAACGAAGUAGAGAUACAUUAGGUGCCCUUCGGGGAAAGUUGAGACAGGUGGUGCAUGGUUGUCGUCAGCUCGUGUCGUGAGAUGUUGGGUUAAGUCCCGCAACGAGCGCAACCCUUGCUAUUAGUUGCUACGCAAGAGCACUUUAAUAGGACUGCCGUUGACAAAACGGAGGAAGGUGGGGACGACGUCAAAUCAUCAUGCCCCUUAUGACCUGGGCUACACACGUACUACAAUGGAUGUUAACAGAGGGAAGCAAGACAGCGAUGUGGAGCAAACCCCUAAAAACAUUCUCAGUUCAGAUUGCAGGCUGCAACCCGCCUGCAUGAAGAUGGAAUUGCUAGUAAUCGCGGAUCAGCAUGCCGCGGUGAAUACGUUCCCG
rnacentral:rRNA from 1 species